rnacentral:sRNA from 1 species
GCGGAGACGCAUGUUUCCGUUCACUCCUCACACCAUCCGCCGCUCGACGUCGAGUCGGGCGGUU